CUACGGGUGGCUCCAGUGGGGAAUAUUGCACAAUGGGGGAAACCCUGAUGCAGCAACGCCGCGUGGAGGAUGACACAUUUCGGUGCGUAAACUCCUUUUAUAGGUCAAGAUAAUGACGGUAGCCUAUGAAUAAGCGCCGGCUAACUCCGUGCCAGCAGCCGCGGUAAUACGGAGGGCGCAAGCGUUACUCGGAAUCACUGGGCGUAAAGAGCAUGUAGGCGGGUUAAUAAGUCAGAAGUGAAAUCCAAUAGCUCAACUAUUGAACUGCUUUUGAAACUGUUAACCUAGAGUGUUGGAGAGGUAGAUGGAAUUUCUGGUGUAGGGGUAAAAUCCGUAGAGAUCAGAAGGAAUACCGAUUGCGAAGGCGAUCUACUGGAACAUUACUGACGCUGAGAUGCGAAAGCGUGGGGAGCAAACAGGAUUAGAUACCCGCGUAGUC
rnacentral:rRNA from 1 species